AGGAAUGUAUUUAAAUAUAAUUAUUGAAUUGCAAUCAGUAGGUGCUUAAAUGUUAGCCAUUCUUG
rnacentral:tRNA from 1 species